UGUGAUGGCACUCGUCUUAUCCCACCAAGACAAGUCAGCCUAAAACCCAAUAUCUAACAAAGUGCGGAAGUAAAUGACAAACCAACAACAAUUUCUAGUAUGAAACCAAGUCAUAUUAAUUCAAUCCCCAAAACCAGGUUGUCACGUGCACAAGCCUCUAAUGUAAACAUUAGAAUUGAAACAAAAUAGAAGUCUAACAUGAAGUUGUCUUUCAAGUAAAAACAAAGUCAUAAACUGGAGUAGGAAAGUUCGCUGAGAUGACAAGCAGCUACCUCACAAUCCUCCACAAGAUGCCUCGGAAACGAAGAGAAUGAAAAGUAUCACAAAAAUCCGGGCUCGUGACCUACAAAAAUUUGUAGAAGCAAGGGGUGAGUACCAAACCACGCGGUACCCAACAAGAAAACCUCUAAACACAAGUUAAGUGAACAAAAUACGGGCACUUCUUACACCAUAUCUAAACCUCCACGCCACAGUCUAAUAGUUUACAGUUUACCAAACACACAACUCAAUAACCACACUCUAUCAGUUUACACAUUCUCAAUAACAACUCAAUAUUCAACAGUCACCAGCCUCACAGGGAAACACUCACAAGAUCAACAAAACACAUGUUCAAGUUCAUCAAUAAUAAAAUGUGUAAUGCCAUGAGAUGCAAUGUCAAGUAUAGUGAUGCAUGUCUUCCCUAACGAUACACACCCGCUGUCUCUCAGCCCGGGACCCAUGGGGGACAUAUCUGUCCAUGCAUCUGUCGCGGCGCACGACACGACCCUCUAUAAUAGUAACCUUCGCGGCGCGUGAUACGUCCCUCGAAAUAUGAUAUCCAUCGCGGCGCGCGAUACGACCCUCGAAAUGGUACAUCCUCUUACCACAACCAUGUUUCAAGUACAAUGCAAAUUACAUGCUCAAAUGAAAAAUGAGGAGAUAACCAUUUUGAUACCAAAGCUCAAUUUACAACAAGGAAUACAACACCAACAAAUAAGCAACAAGUCUCCAAAUCAUUCUCAACAUCACACAAGAAAAUACACGAAUUUCAUACGCUUAACAAGGGUUUAGAAAUCCACUUGCCUCAAUCACUCUAAUAAUCACUCUGGGACUUGAGCCUUCCCUUUCCGUUGAGCUUCCAAAUCGAUGCAAUCUAUGCAAGUAUAUAUAUUCACAAUAAGGUUUCAGAACUAACAAUACUCACACUUUUGUGUGUUUAAUCUUGACCUAAAAAUUCACCCCAAAUUUAUAAUCAAGUUCGUAAUUCUUGAUGCCAACUAACAUUUUAACUAUUAUAUUUUUCAAGUUCCAAGUCUAAGGUUAAGUCCCAAAUUAUUUUCAAUAGCAUAAUUCCAAUGGUAUUCACAUAAUACCAUACAUCUAAUGCUUAAUAUGUAUCUUAAUAUAUCCAACUUGAAUUUUUAAUGCAUUAACUAAAUUAUGUUUAUUAAAAUAUGAGGCCACUGGUUACGAAACCAGUGGCAGACGAACAAAGGAGGGAAAACGUAUCUUAUAAUGAGAGUAAUACUAUAUAUAAUUAAUAAUUAAAAGAUAUACAACAUGGCCAAUCAUUACCCUCCAACAUACAUAUGCAUUAAAGUUAGUUUCAAACUUCUUCUUUUUUUUUCCAGUAGCCACGUUGAACAUUUUUUUUUAUUUAUUUAUUACAUUCAAUCUGCUUCCAUUCUUUUAUACCAACAUAUAUAUAUAAUUUAUUAUAUACUAACAUGCACACAUCUAUGUGCAGAAAUCAAGAAAAUUUACAGGAGAAGAAACUUACCUAGCAGUUCGUAAGCCGCAGAGAACCCUUCGCCUUUUUUUUUUAAUUUUCUUUUUGAAUCAUUUAAGUACUAAAAGUAAUAGGUUUUACCCACAUAUUUAAUUAAAUAUAGUCUAAAUGGUAUAGGGUCUUAAAUAAAUUAUCACUUUAGCCCAUAAACUAUCGAUUAAUUAACUCAAGUUACUCUAAUAUUUAAAAUUUCCAAAAAUGACCUUCCGGGUCAUUACAUUAUCCACCACUAAAAGUCAUGUUCGUCCUCGAACAUAAAGUAAAAGAAAGUACCUGAUGCUUCAAAAAGUUGAGGAUAUCUGGCACGCAUGUCAGACUCAGUCUCCCAAGUUGCCUCUCCCACUGAUCGGUGCUUCCAUUGGACCUUCACUGAAGCAAUCUCCUUGGUCCUAAGCUUUCGAACCUGCCUAUCCAAAAUAGCUAUAGGCUCCUCCUCAAAUGUCAAGUCUGGACCCAACUCCACGGAGUCAAGUGAAAGCACAUGAGAUUCAUCCGGAAUAUACUUCCGAAGCAUAGAGACAUGGAAAACAGGAUGAACUGCCGACAAACUAGGUGGCAAGGCCAACUUAUAAGCCACCUCUCCCACUCGGCUCAAAAUCUCAAAAGGUCCAAUGAACCUAGGGCUAAGCUUGCCCUUCUUUCCAAACCUCAUCACACCCUUCAUGGGUGAUACUCGGAGCCAAACAUGAUCACCCUCCAUAAACACUAAAGCCCUAACUCUCCGGUCUGCAUAACUCUUCUGUCGACUUUGGGCUGUCAACAGUCUAUACUGAAUCAUACGGACUUGCUCCAUAGCAUCUCUAAGCAAGUCUGUAUCCAAAGAGUCCAUCUCCGCCGAAUCAAACCACCCUAUCGGAGACCUACACCGUCUUCCAUACAAUGCCUCAAAUGGGGCCAUUUGGAUACUAGAGUGAUAACUGUUAUUAUAGGCGAACUCCGCUAAGGGUAAAUGUCGAUCCCAUCUUGCACCAAAAUCGAUCACACACGCUCGAAGCAUAUCUUCCAAUACCUGAAUGGUCCGCUCAGAUUGACCAUCUGUCUGAGGGUGAAAUGCCGUACUCAUAUCUAACUGAGUACCCAGACCAUGUUGUAAUGCCUUCCAGAAGUGAGAAGUAAAUAGUGAACCUCGAUCUGAUAUGAUAGAAACAGGAACUCCAUGUAGUUGCACAAUCUGACUGAUAUAUAGUUCGGCUAACUUUUCUGCUGUAUACUUUACCCGAACCGGGAUGAAGUGGGCAGACUUGGUCAGCCUAUCAACAACAACCCAAAUAGAGUCAUAACCACCCACUGUGGUAGGCAAACCCACAACAAAGUCCAUAGUAAUCCGCUCCCACUUCCAAGUAGGAAUAGGCAUCCUUUGAGAUACACCACCAGGCCGCUGGUGCUCACACUUGACCUGCUGGCAAGUCAAACACCUCAAAACAAAGUCUGUAAUAUCUCUCUUCAUCCCACACCACCAGUAAUGCUGACUUAGAUCAUGAUACAUUUUCGCCGCUCCCGGAUGGAUAGAAUAUCGAGAACAAUGGGCCUCCUCAAGGAUCAAUCUAAUCAAAUCGCCUGUCUUGGGCACACAAAUCCUGCCUCCGAUCCUCAAGACACCAUCAGAAUCAAGGACAGCCUCCUUAGCUUCCCCUCUCAAUACUUUGUCUCGAAUGAGACAUAAUUUUUCAUCAUCAAACUGGUGUGCACGAAUCUGCUCGACUAAAGAAGAUCGAGCCUCAAUAAAAGCAAUCAUCCCAUCACUCUCCUCUGAGAUCUGUAAUCGGACAAGACUGUUAGCUAAUAUCUGCACAUCUCUAGCCAAUGGUCUCUCCUCAAUACUAAGCGCUGCAAGACUCCCCAUGCUAGGAGUCUUCCUACUCAGAGCAUCGGCCACAACAUUGGCCUUCCCUGGAUGAUACAGAAUGGUCACAUCAUAGUCCUUCAGCAACUCAAGCCAUCUUCGUUGCCUCAAGUUCAAAUCCCUCUGGCUAAAGAUAUACUGAAGACUCCGAUGAUCAGUGAAGAUCUCACAAUGCACUCCAUACAAAUAAUGACGCCAUAACUUAAGUACAAAUACCACGGCCGCCAACUCUAGAUCAUGAGUAGGGUAGUUCUUCUCAUGGGAUUUCAACUGCCUAGAAGCAUAAGCAAUCACUUUCCCCUUCUGCAUCAACACACCACCCAAACCAACUCCUGAAGCAUCACAAUACACAGUAAAGUCUACACCUUCCUCAGGUAGAGUCAACACAGGAGCAGAAGUCAACAAAGUCUUGAGCUUUUGAAAGCUCUCCUCACACUCAUCAGACCACUGGAAACCCACAUCCUGUCGAGUCAAUCUAGUCAAUGGGGCUGCAAUAGUAGAGAAACUCUGAACAAAUCGUCGAUAAUAGCCUGCCAAUCCCACAAAACUCCUAAUCUCAGUAGGUGAAGUAAGUCGCGUCCAGCCUCUAACUGCCUCAAUUUUGGCCGGAUCUACUCUAAUACCCUCCUUGGACACCACGUGCCCCAAGAAUGUCACAGAAGUAAGCCAGAACUCACACUUUGAGAACUUGGCAUACAACUUCUCUUCUCUCAACCUCUGAAGUACAAUCCUCAGGUGUCGGACAUGGUCCUCCUCAGUCUUAGAGUAAACCAAGAUGUCAUCGAUGAAAACAAUCACAAAAGAAUCAAGGUAUGGUCGAAACACCCCAUUCAUCAACUCCAUGAAUGCUGCAGGAGCAUUAGUCAAUCCGAAAGACAUCACUAGAAACUCAUAAUGCCCAUACCGGGUCCGAAAAGCUGUCUUAGGGAUAUCUGACGCCCUAAUCUUCAACUGAUGAUACCCAGACCUCAAAUCAAUCUUAGAGAACAAUGAUGCUCCCUGUAACUGAUCAAAUAAGUCAUCAAUACGCGGAAGAGGAUACUUAUUCUUAACUGUUACCUUGUUCAACUGUCUGUAAUCAAUACACAUUCUCAUAGUCCCAUCCUUCUUCUUCACAAACAAUACAGGGGCACCCCAAGGUGAUACACUAGGGCGAAUAAAACCCUUACUCAAUAAAUCUUGCAACUGAUCCUUCAAUUCUUUCAACUCUGCUGGGGCCAUACGAUAUGGAGGUAUAGAAAUAGGCUUAGUGCCUGGCUCCAAAUCAAUAGCAAAAUCGAUAUCCCUGUCGGGAGGAACACCUGGAAGAUCAGAAGGAAAUACAUCGAGAAACUCCUGAACCACGGGAACAGAGUCCAUGGAAGGUGGUUCAACACUAGUAUCCCGAAUAAAAGCUAAGUAAGACAAACACCCCCUCUCCACCAAUCUCUGAGCACGGAUAAAAGAGAUGACCUUUCUAGGAUAAGAACCACUAACACUCUUCCACUCAACCCUCAGAACACCAGGCAUUGCUAAAGUCACAGUCUUAGCAUUACAAUCAAGGACAGCAUGAUAAGGAGAAAGCCAAUCCAUACCCAAGAUAACAUCAAAGUCCACCAUCCCCAGAAUGAUUAAGUCUACCCAAGUGUCAUAUCCAGCCAAAGAAACAAGACAGGAUCGAUACACUCGAUCCACCACUAAGGGCUUACCCACGGGUGUAGAAACACGAAUAGGUACAGUCAUGCUAUCACAUAUCAUAUCAAAUUUAGCAGCAAAAUACGUAGACACAUAAGAGAAUGUAGAACCUGGAUCAAACAACACAGACGCAGGUUGAUGGCAUACUGGGAUGAUACCUGUAAUAACUGCAUCAGAGGUCUCCGCCUCAGGUCUCCCGGGGAAAGCAUAGCAGUGGGCUCCUCGUCCACCUCCAGCCUGGGUGGUACCUCUACCCCCACUCUGCUGAGCUGCAACACCACUACUAGAAACUUUAUCACCUCUACCUGACUGAACUCUGCCACGACCUCUACCCUGUGGAGCUGGUGGUCUAGUCUGGAAUGAAGAAUUAGGUCGAGGGCCACCACGACCCCUUUGAGAAGUACACUGCCGCAUUAGAUGAUCGGGAUCUCCACAAGUAAAACAAAAUCUCUGACCUGGGAACUGUUGUGUGGACCCUGAAAAUCCACUAUAAUUUCCUCGCCCUGUAGGUCGCUGCUGUGAAUCGUACGAGCUCUGACCCGAGCUAUAAGAACCCCUAGAUGUCUGGCCACCCUCAAAUGUCGGCAUAGAUGCAUGAAUAGGUCCCCGCUGCUGAAAAGAACCACUCACUCUCUGUGAUCCCCUACCUCCAGAUGAGGCACCAUGAAACUGUCCUGAUAUACGGGCUCUUUUAGGGUCCCCAAACUCCUCUCUCUCCAUCAAUUCCGCCUCUUUGGCGGCGCUCACAAUGAACUGGAAAGAAGUCCCCUCCCUAGAUGUCCGAAACACAGCUGACCUGAUAGAGAAAGUCAAUCCCCUCACGAAUCUGCGGAUCCUCUCUGUCUCAUUUGGAAUAAUGGCCAACGCAUGCCUAGACAACUGGCAAAAAUGCGCCUCAUACUCUGUAACCGAUAAACCAUCCUGUCUCAGACUCUCAAACCUCAAGCGACUCUCCCCUCUCACGCUCCAUGAGAUAAAACGAUCUUGGAAUGCGCUAGCAAACUGCUCCCAAGUCACUGGAGGAGAUCCAACUGGCAAACAUCCCGAAUAAGUCCUCCACCAGUCUCUCGCUGGUCCACGAAGCUGGAGUGUAGCAUAUCUAACCCCAUGUGACUCAGCUAAUCCAACCACCUCUAGUAACUCUCGGCAGGUAGUUAGAAACUCAUGAGCGUCCUCGCUCUUCCCACCCUGAAACUGAGGUGGGUCCAUCUUUCGAAAUCUCUCAUACCUAUGCUGAUCAUCCUCUGUCAGAACAACCAUCGAUGCAACUUGACCCCCAACUGCUGGUGCAAUAUCAUUCUGAACCGCGGGAUCUACUGGUAGUUGCCCCACCGCAUCCUGAACAACCGGAGCUUGUUGCUGCUCUUGGGUCUGAGCCCCCUCUCUAGUACGAGAGUCAUGUGGUGUGGUAGUUGCACCACCACCCUGAGAAAAGCCCUCUAACACACUUAACACCCUCAAUAGCGUAUCCUGAAGCAAAGGUGUGACUACGGGAUCUGGAGGAACCUGGUCCUCUCUGUCAUCAAUCUGAGGUUCGGUAGAGACCUCUCUAGCACGACCUCUCACUGGUGCUGCUCCACGUCCACGACCUCUGGCUACUGUCGCACUACUAGCACGACCUCUAGCUCGAGAUCUACCCCUACCUCUAGCUGGGGCCUCAACAACUGCCUCGGGAAGUGCCUCCCCUCUACCACCAGUAAUAUUAGUUCUAGUUCUCAUCAUCUGUCAAAAGAGUAUACAACAACUCAGUACUAAAGAAGGUGACUACGCACGAUGAGAAAGAAUGAACAAAAAGAAGUUUUCCUAGUAAUUCUUGUAGCCUCUCAAAGAUAAGUACAGACGUCUCCGUACUGAUCCUUGAGACUUUACGUAGACUCGGCUUGUAUACACGUGAGACCUAUGAACCUGGGCUCUGAUACCAUUUUGUCACGACCCAAAAAUGGGUGUGAUGGCACUCGUCUUAUCCCACCAAGACAAGUCAGCCUAAAACCCAAUAUCUAACAAAGUGCGGAAGUAAAUGACAAACCAACAACAAUUUCUAGUAUGAAACCAAGUCAUAUUAAUUCAAUCCCCAAAACCAGGUUGUCACGUGCACAAGCCUCUAAUGUAAACAUUAGAAUUGAAACAAAAUAGAAGUCUAACAUGAAGUUGU
rnacentral:lncRNA from 1 species